rnacentral:rRNA from 1 species
GUGAGGAAUAUUGCGCAAUGGAGGCAACUCUGACGCAGCCAUGCCGCGUGCAGGAAGAAGGCGCUACGCGUUGUAAACUGCUUUUAACCGGGAAGAAACCCCAGGACGUGUCCUGGGUUGACGGUACCGGAGGAAUAAGCACCGGCUAACUUCGUGCCAGCAGCCGCGGUAAUACGAAGGGUGCAAGCGUUAUCCGGAUUCAUUGGGUUUAAAGGGUGCGUAGGCGGAGCGUUAAGUCAGUGGUGCAAUUCUGCAGCUUAACUGUAGACUUGCCAUUGAUACUGGCGCUCUUGAGUGCGGGUGAAGUGGGCGGAAUGUGCCGUGUAGCGGUGAAAUGCUUAGGUAUGGCACAGAACACCAAUUGCGAAGGCAGCUCACUAAGGCGAUACUGACGCUGAGGCGCGAAAGCGUGGGGAUCGAACCGGAUUAGAUACCCUUGUAGUCC